GUGCCAGCAGCCCGGUAAUACGUAGUGGCAAGCGUUAUCCGGAAUUAUUGGGCGUAAAGCGCGCGUAGGCGGUUUUUUAAGUCUGAUGUCGAAAGCCCACGGCUCAACCGUGGAGGGUCAUUGGAAACUGGAAAACUUGAGUGCGGAAGAGGAAAGUGGAAUUCCAUGUGUAGCGGUGAAAUGCGCAGAGAUAUGGAGGAACACCAGUGGCGAAGGCGACUUUCUGGUCUGUAACUGACGCUGAUGUGCGAAAGCGUGGGGAUCAA
rnacentral:rRNA from 1 species